ACAGUUCCCCCUGCGACAUCUGUCACCCCAUUGAUCGCCAGGGUUGAUUCGGCUGAUCUGGCUGGCUAGGCGGGUGUCCCCUUCCUCCCUCACCGCUCCAUGUGCGUCCCUCCUGAAGCUGCGCGCUAGGUCGAAGAGGACAACCUUCCCCAAAUAGAGUAGGACCGGUCUUCGGUCAAGGGUAUACGAGUAGCUGCGCUCCCCUGCUAGAACCUCCAAACAAGCUCAAGGUCCAUCUGUAUUUCUAACAUAUUGAUCAGUUAUAAGCCUCCAUAUGAACCUUCUUCUGCAGAAAGAAUCUUCUUU
rnacentral:snRNA from 1 species